UAAAUACUCCCUUCGUCCAAAAAUACUUGUCAUCAAAAUGGAUAAAAAGAAAUGUAUCUAAAACUAAAAUAUGUCUAGAUACAUUUCCUUUUAUCCAUUUUGAUGACAAGUAUUUCCGGACGGAGGGAGUAUUUG
rnacentral:pre_miRNA from 1 species